rnacentral:rRNA from 1 species
AUUGAACGCUGGCGGCAUGCUUUACACAUGCAAGUCGAACGGCAGCGCGGGCUUCGGCCUGGCGGCGAGUGGCGAACGGGUGAGUAAUGCAUCGGAACGUGCCCAGUAGUGGGGGAUAGCCCGGCGAAAGCCGGAUUAAUACCGCAUACGACCUGAGGGUGAAAGCGGGGGACCGAAAGGCCUCGCGCUAUUGGAGCGGCCGAUGUCGGAUUAGCUAGUUGGUGGGGUAAAGGCUUACCAAGGCGACGAUCCGUAGCUGGUCUGAGAGGACGACCAGCCACACUGGGACUGAGACACGGCUCAGACUCCUACGGGAGGCAGCAGUGGGGAAUUUUGGACAAUGGGGGCAACCCUGAUCCAGCCAUGCCGCGUGCGGGAAGAAGGCCUUCGGGUUGUAAACCGCUUUUGUUCGGGAAGAAAUCCUCUGGGCUAAUACCCCGGGGGGAUGACGGUACCGGAAGAAUAAGCACCGGCUAACUACGUG